rnacentral:lncRNA from 1 species
UGUUCCAACACCACGUAGGUAAAUGCUCUUCGAGCUGCUUUAAUUUGGUUCUUUAUAAAUGGUUAUAACUUGGACGUGGCAAAGCUCAUUCACAAUAAGAUGUUUACUCGUUGUUCGAUGUAGAGGUAUGGUUUCUUCUUCCGUUCCUUAGUCACUAGGAUCUUCUGGGCAGCUCGGGUGCCGAAAAAUUUGAAUGUGGAUGGGAUAAGCCAAGAGACUCCAAGUUCUGAGCUGAUAAGAUAACUACUGAGAAGGAGCCUGUGGCAGUUCGUGGUGAUGAUAGUAUCGAAUCUGAUGACUCUGAGGAAGGGGAGGAUGAAAAGGAGUAAGAAAGGGUCGAGUCAGCGGCCCAUGAGCAUAUUGCAUAGGCUGCAGGACCAUAUAAGGUUGGUCAUGUUACCUGUUUCAUAGCCUUAGAGUGGGAGGCGGCAAGAUUGCGUACCUUGGUCAAUGACUUAGGUACAAGUGUUGAUGCGAUAGCCACCUAACAACUGAAACCGGAGAAGAAAAUAUUGGGCUGGCUGGAAGCUCUGGGUCGAUGCCGUUUGAAGACGGUCCCCGACUAGAGCGAUCAAUCAGGGAAGUUCCUUUACCUCACUAUUCUUUA